AGAUUGAACGCUAGCGGGAUGCUUUACACAUGCAAGUCGAACGGCAGCGCGGACUUCGGUCUGGCGGCGAGUGGCGAACGGGUGAGUAAUAUAUCGGAACGUGCCCAGUAGCGGGGGAUAACUACGCGAAAGCGUGGCUAAUACCGCAUACGCCCUACGGGAGAAAGGGGGGGAUUCUUUCGAGAACCUCUCACUAUUGGAGCGGCCGAUAUCAGAUUAGCUAGUUGGUGAGGUAAAGGCUCACCAAGGCGACGAUCUGUAGCUGGUUUGAGAGGAUCGAUCCAGUCACGACUUGGAACUGACGACACGGUCCAGA
rnacentral:rRNA from 1 species